rnacentral:rRNA from 1 species
AAAUUGAAGAGUUUGAUCAUGGCUCAGAUUGAACGCUGGCGGCAGGCCUAACACAUGCAAGUCGAACGGUAGCACAGAGAGCUUGCUCUCGGGUGACGAGUGGCGGACGGGUGAGUAAUGUCUGGGAAACUGCCCGAUGGAGGGGGAUAACUACUGGAAACGGUAGCUAAUACCGCAUAACGUCGCAAGACCAAAGUGGGGGACCUUCGGGCCUCACACCAUCGGAUGUGCCCAGAUGGGAUUAGCUAGUAGGUGGGGUAACGGCUCACCUAGGCGACGAUCCCUAGCUGGUCUGAGAGGAUGACCAGCCACACUGGAACUGAGACACGGUCCAGACUCCUACGGGAGGCAGCAGUGGGGAAUAUUGCACAAUGGGCGCAAGCCUGAUGCAGCCAUGCCGCGUGUAUGAAGAAGGCCUUCGGGUUGUAAAGUACUUUCAGCGAGGAGGAAGGCGUUGUGGUUAAUAACCACAGCGAUUGACGUUACUCGCAGAAGAAGCACCGGCUAACUCCGUGCCAGCAGCCGCGGUAAUACGGAGGGUGCAAGCGUUAAUCGGAAUUACUGGGCGUAAAGCGCACGCAGGCGGUUUGUUAAGUCAGAUGUGAAAUCCCCGGGCUCAACCUGGGAACUGCAUUUGAAACUGGCAAGCUUGAGUCUCGUAGAGGGGGGUAGAAUUCCAGGUGUAGCGGUGAAAUGCGUAGAGAUCUGGAGGAAUACCGGUGGCGAAGGCGGCCCCCUGGACAAAGACUGACGCUCAGGUGCGAAAGCGUGGGGAGCAAACAGGAUUAGAUACCCUGGUAGUCCACGCCGUAAACGAUGUCUACUUGGAGGUUGUGCCCUUGAGGCGUGGCUUCCGGAGCUAACGCGUUAAGUAGACCGCCUGGGGAGUACGGCCGCAAGGUUAAAACUCAAAUGAAUUGACGGGGGCCCGCACAAGCGGUGGAGCAUGUGGUUUAAUUCGAUGCAACGCGAAGAACCUUACCUGGUCUUGACAUCCACGGAAGUUUUCAGAGAUGAGAAUGUGCCUUCGGGAACCGUGAGACAGGUGCUGCAUGGCUGUCGUCAGCUCGUGUUGUGAAAUGUUGGGUUAAGUCCCGCAACGAGCGCAA